GUGGUUCUAGGACCAGCACUCCCUGAGCAAAAACUUUCCUUUUCAUUAGUCUGACGGCGUAAUCGCCAAACGAUUUAGCUGUAGGUCAGUACUUCCACAGCCAGUACCAAUAUUGUCACAGUGGCCAAUAUCUUAAGCAUGCUGCCAAGCUCUGGAUAAAACCCAGGCAUUUGUUUUCAUUUCUCGAAAUGUAUUUUCUAUGCUCUUAUUACUUCGUAUAAAGCGCCUAAUUGCGCCAGUCCCUGCCAUAAUCUAUGCAAGCGCCACUUUGCAAAAGCAAGACAAUUACUAGCAAUUCAGCCCUAAACGUCUAUUGAGGCACUGCAUCACUAAACCUGGCUAUGUCUAAGCGCGUUUAUCACAUCGCCCCAUUACGUUGGCCUACCUGUUAAUGCACUGUAAAAAAUACUGGUAGUGUUUUCGACGAAGAUGUAUAUUUUUAGAACCCAUAAAAGGGGAAGUUUUAAGGAGUGCAAUCCGUGGCGAAUCCUGGCCUAAGAGUAAGGAGGUCGGCAACCUUUUCGUUACGGUUGGCCGCAUUGGCAAACUGUGUUUAUCUUUGGGGAGGGCCACAGAAAUGAGCCGAUAUGUCCUGGAAAAGGACAAUGGGACCGAAUGGAAGAGGAGAAUUGAGGAGGCCACGGACCGAAUACGGACCAGACAGCCAUAGAAGAAGAAGAAGGAGGAGGUUGAAAUAAGAUUUAUGCCUGUUGCUUCAUCCAUUAAACUUU